AUUGAACGCUGGCGGCAUGCCUUACACAUGCAAGUCGAGCGGCAGCGCGGGGGCAACCCUGGCGGCGAGCGGCGGACGGGUGAGUAAUACAUCGGAACGUGUCCUUUCGUGGGGGAUAACCAGUCGAAAGACUGGCUAAUACCGCAUGAGAUCGCAAGAUGAAAGCGGGGGAUCGCAAGACCUCGCGCGAUUGGAGCGGCCGAUGUCGGAUUAGCUAGUUGGCGGGGUAAGAGCCCACCAAGGCGACGAUCCGUAGCUGGUUUGAGAGAACGACCAGCCACACUGGGACUGAGACACGGCCCAGACUCCUACGGGAGGCAGCAGUGGGGAAUUUUGGACAAUGGGCGCAAGCCUGAUCCAGCCAUGCCGCGUGUGUGAAGAAGGCCUUCGGGUUGUAAAGCACUUUCGGCCGGAACGAAAUCGCGCGGGCGAACAUCCCGCGUGGAUGACGGUACCGGAAGAAGAAGCACCGGCUAACUACGUGCCAGCCGCCGCGGUAAAAC
rnacentral:rRNA from 1 species